rnacentral:rRNA from 1 species
UACGUAGGGGGCAAGCGUUGUCCGGAUUUAUUGGGCGUAAAGAGCGUGUAGGCGGCCGUACAGGUCAGCUGUGAAAACUCGAGGCUCAACCUCGAGACGUCGGUUGAAACCGUACGGCUAGAGUCCGGAAGAGGAGAGUGGAAUUCCCGGUGUAGCGGUGAAAUGCGCAGAUAUCGGGAAGAACACCCGUGGCGAAGGCGGCUCUCUGGGACGGUACUGACGCUGAGACGCGAAAGCGUGGGGAGCGAGCAGG